CAAGUUGCUUAGGGCCUCAAACUGGCAAUCUUCUUGCCCCAGCCUCCCAAGUCGCUGGGAUUACAGGUGUGUGACACCUGCCCAGUUUAAAAAAUAGGUAUUUUAAUAGGAGAAGUGGACCAUGUGCCUCAGUUAAAUUCAAUGUCUGGUUCUUUGUCAAAACAAGACAUCCUCAGGUGUCUGUGCUCAAACACCAGCUCCAGCUUCUGCUUGCAGUUUGUUAUACAUUUCAGGUGUUUAGAAUAGUGCCUGGCACAUAAAAAACACUAAAUAAAUGCUAGGAGUCAUUUUCACUGGGUUAAAGCAGCCAGUUUGUUUUUGUCAGGAUUCAUACCAUUAUUGAAAAUGUGCUGCUGAUGUCAUUUAAAGUACUUUUUGGAUUUUGAGCAUUUAAAGUACCUUUUGGAUUUUGAGCCAGAGUCUCAUGUGGCCCAUGAUGGCCUCGAAAUCGGGAGUCCCAGGUGCCCACUACCAUGUUCAGCUUCUCUUUUAAAGUACUUAAAGAUGUUGUCUUAAAUGGCUUCCUAUACAAAUUUGAAUAAGAGUAACCCAAUAAGUAAAGAUGGAAGAUGAAUAUUUUAAGUGCCGAAAAGCAAAUUUUGUGAGUUUUGUAAGUGAAUAACAAGAACUUCCUACUAUUUAUAAAAAAAAAUUUCUCAAAAAAUUGUUUCUCCUUAAAACUUGUUUUCAUGGGAUUUUUCACCCAAUGAUUCUUCUCCCAGCCUAGCUACAGUUGGUAGAUCUGUUCUUUUCAGUUCACCUUCCGAGGCUGGGACAUUCUAAUUUAUGUACCUAAGC
rnacentral:lncRNA from 1 species